rnacentral:rRNA from 1 species
UACGUAGGCAGCAAGCGUUGUUCGGAAUUACUGGGCGUAAAGAGUGUGUAGGCGGUGCUCUAAGUCUGUUGUGAAAUCUCCCGGCUUAACCGGGAGGGUGCGGCGGAAACUGGAGUGCUUGAGGGUGGGAGAGGUAAGCGGAAUUCCUGGUGUAGCGGUGAAAUGCGUAGAUAUCUGGAGGAACACCGGUGGCGAAGGCGGCAUCCUGGACCAACACUGACGCUGAGGCGCGAAAGCCAGGGGAGCGAACGGG